UUGCUAGAGUUAGACAGAAUCAGACAAUCAGACAGAAAUUUAAGGUAUGAAGAGACUGGGAAGUGGCUAUGGGUCAAAAUCUAGUUUCUACUUUUGAAACGUUUAUAUUAUGGUUUCUCAUUAUGUUUUGGCUUCUCAUUGUGCAUUGACUAAUUCUCACAAGAGGUUUUGAAAAUGAAGCUGGGUUUCAGGUUCGACUCACAUGAGCUACUUUCUCACUCCCCAUUCACCAGGUCCCCAGGCAAGUAUUGAUCUGCUUUCUAUAACUAGACUGCUUGCACAUUCCAGAAUUCCAUAU
rnacentral:lncRNA from 1 species